rnacentral:rRNA from 1 species
CGGGGUACUCGAGCGGCGAACGGGUGAGUAACACGUGAGCAACCUKCCCCAGKCUUUGGGAUAACCCCGGGAAACCGGGGCUAAUACCGAAUAUGACCUUGCACCGCAUGGUGUUUGGUGGAAAGUUUUUCGGCUUGGGAUGGGCUCGCGGCCUAUCAGCUUGUUGGUGGGGUGAUGGCCUACCAAGGCGACGACGGGUAGCCGGCCUGAGAGGGCGACCGGCCACACUGGGACUGAGACACGGCCCAGACUCCUACGGGAGGCAGCAGUGGGGAAUAUUGCACAAUGGGCGGAAGCCUGAUGCAGCGACGCCGCGUGAGGGAUGACGGCCUUCGGGUUGUAAACCUCUUUCCAGCAGGGACGAAGCGUAAGUGACGGUACCUGCCAGAAGAAGCGCCGGCCAACUACGUGCCAGCAGCCGCGGUAAGACGUAGGGUCGCGAGCGUUGUUCCGGAUUUAUUGGGGCGUAAAGAGCUCGUAGGCGGCUUGUCGCGUCGACUGUGAAAACCCGCAGCUCAACUGCGGGCCUGCAGUCGAUACGGGCAGGCUAGAGUUCGGUAGGGGAGACUGGAAUUCCUGGGUGUAGCGGUGAAAUGSGCAGAUAUCAGGAGGAACACCGGUGGCGAAGGCGGGGUCUCUUGGGCGAUACUGACGCU